rnacentral:rRNA from 1 species
UACAGAGGGUGCGAGCGUUAAUCGGAAUUACUGGGCGUAAAGCGUGCGCAGGCGGUUUUGUAAGUCAGAUGUGAAAUCCCCGGGCUUAACCUGGGAAUGGCAUUUGGGACUGCAAGGCUUGAGUGCGGCAGAGGAGACUGGAAUUCCUGGUGUAGCAGUGAAAUGCGUAGAUAUCAGGAGGAAUACCGAUGGCGAAGGCAGGUCUCUGGGCUGACACUGACGCUCAUGCACGAAAGCGUGGGGAGCAAACAGG